rnacentral:lncRNA from 1 species
UCAUGACCGAACUUAGGCGGGAGGAUCGGCAGUCCUUUGUACACUUCCUUCGAAUGCCCACAGAGAUGUUCGACGAGAUAUUGCAAGUUGGACCUCGCAUAGCCAAGCAGAAUACCUUUUACAGAAAUCCACUGGAACCAGGACUCAAGUUAGCAAUUACACUUAGACACCUUGCUUCUGGAGCAAAAUAUCGUAGCAUGCAGUACGGAUGAAGAGUUCCGUAUAACACAUUAUCCGUUUUCAUACCAGAGGUACAUAAUAUAAACAAAUUCAGAAAAUCAACUUAAACUCUAUAAGACUGAAUUACCACACUGCUUCUACCUUGAUUUUUUUUUUAAUCAGAGUAGCUCUAUAUUUGCACACAUAUCAUGCUAAACAAGACGCAAUACAAAAUAAAAUCAACUAAACCUGUUAACUAAAGUGACCCUCGUGUGUAAAAACGUAAAAAAGAAUCGGAUAAAUUGUUCUAUUUGUUUGGUACGUGUGACCUUGAUACCUGUCCUACUGACCACACUUUCCCAGAAGCAAAUAUUAUAACAUAUUUACAUGUACUAGAUACAAUCAUUUUAAGGUCACGUGUAUGUGGUUUAUUGCCUUUAAUUUUCAGAUGGUUUAUUGCUUUUAAUUUUCAGAUGGUUUAUUGCCUUAAAUUUUUAGAUGGUUAAUUGCCUUUAAUUUUCAGAUUAUUUUGUUCAUCCGUUUUAUCCGUUACGCUUCCGUUAGGUGUCCGUUUUAUCCGGUACUCGUCCGUUGGAUGUACGUUCGACGUCCGUUCUGUCCGGUACGUAUCCGUUUCACGUACGUUCAAUGUCCGUUGUGUGUCCGUUAGGCAUUCGUUACAUGUCCGUUAGUAAACCAACGGACUCCCAACGGAUAAAAAUUUUGUCAACGGAUAACUUUUUUUUUAUCCGUUAGGCGUCCGUUCGAGCUAUCCGGUAAGGUGUGACCGAGGCUUUAGUUU